GAAGAGGAUCUUGAAUAAACAAGGCUUUUAAAUAUGAUUAUAAGUUUGAGUAAAUAAUUUAUUGAGAUAUAAAGAUUUUAGUAUUGUAAAUGAAAUUUUAGAAGGCUAUAGCUUAGAAGUACUGUGGAGGAAAAUUUGAAAUAAUUGAAAAUAAAUAUAUAAAAAAAGAACUUAUAAAAUAAGGUACCUUUUGUAUCAGUGACUAUUAAAUUUUUACUUUAUAGUAAUUUCUCGAAAAUAAAAGAUUUACAUAUGUAAAGAGAUUUUUGUGUCAGAAAAAUCUCAUAUAUAUAUGUGGGGGUGAAACGUUAAUCGAUUUUAUAUAUAUCUAGUAACUCUAGAAUAAAAUUUAGUUUGAAAAGUUGGGUAUAAUUUAUUUUCUAAAAUUAUAUUUAUAUUUUUGUAUUUUUUAGGGGAUGAGCUCUGAAAAAAUAUUAUAUCUAAUAAUAGUUUUUGUUUUUAUAUAGGCUUAGAAUUGGCCAUAAGAUUUUGUUAUAAGACAUUAUUUAGAAGGAAAAGAUUUUAUUGGGAUUAGGAUUUUAUGGAGUUAACUUUAUAAAUUUAUUAUAAAGUGAAACUAUGAUAGUAUUAGUAGAGUAUUAUAUUUUGGUAACCUUUUUGGUUAAUCUUGAAAGAGUGAUGAAAAAAAUAUACUAGAAUAAUUCGGCAAAUAUAAUUUUCGAAUGUUUAACAAAAACAUUUCCUCCUAUUAUAGGAGGUAAGGCCUGCUCACUGAAUAUUAAAGAGCCGCAGUAUUUUGACUGUGCUAAGGUAGCAUAAUCAUUAGUCUCUUAAUUGGGGACUGGUAUGAAUGGCUAAACGAGAAAUUAGCUUUUUUUGGUGUAUAAAUUGAAUUUUACUUCUUAGUGAAAAGGCUAAGAUUGUUUAGAAAGACGAGAAGACCCCGUAGAGUUUUAUAUAAAUAAAUAAUUUUGAUAAUUAGACUUAAAGAUCAAAAUUGUAUUUUUAAUAUUUUGUUGGGGCGACAUUUAGAUAAGAUAAACUCUUUAUUUUUAAAACCUUUAUAAAGGUAUAUUAUGAUCCUUUAAAAAAGAUUAUAAGAAAAAUUACCUCGGGGAUAACAGCGUAAUCUUUUUUGAGAGUUCUAAUCGACGAAAAGGUUUGCGACCUCGAUGUUGGACUAAAAUUUUGGUAAGGUGUAGCAGCUUUAUUUAUUGGUCUGUUCGACCAUUAAAAUUUUACAUGAUCUGAGUUCAGACCGGCGUGAGCCAGGUUGGUUUCUAUCUUCUAAUAUAUAGAAUUUAGCUUAGUACGAAAGGAUUGGUUAAUAGUAAUUUUUACAAUUUAAGGAGGAUUAUAAAUUUUUAAAUAUAUAAAUUUGGCAGAUAAUUGUAAUAGAUUUAGAAUCUAUA
rnacentral:rRNA from 1 species